rnacentral:rRNA from 1 species
UACGUAGGGGGCAAGCGUUGUCCGGAAUUAUUGGGCGUAAAGAGCGUGUAGGCGGCCCGGCAAGUCCGACGUGAAAUCCCAAGGCUUAACCUUGGAACUGCGUCGGAUACUGGAUGGCUUGAAUUCGGGAGAGGGAUGCAGAAUUCCAGGUGUAGCGGUGAAAUGCGUUGAUAUCAGGAGGAACACCCAUGGCGAAGGCAGGUUACUGGGCAUUAUCUGACGCUGAGGCGCGAAAGCGUGGGUAGCAAACAGG